GCGGCCCCAGGGGAUGUGGGGCUGACUGUGGUCACACAGGGGAUGUGGGGCUGACUGUGGUCACACAGGUGUUCAGCACACCUGCCUGCAGGUAAACCUUGCCUCCUUACUUACCAAAGCCUAAUUGUGAGGGUGGUCUUUGGGCAGCUGCACACAUGAUCUCUUAUCACACAAAGAGCCACUUUAAAACCAUUAAGACAAAAGCUAACCCAGGGUGUAUGAAGAAGAAAAACGUUGGGACUUAAAUGAAUUGUGGAGCUGCUGUUUCAAUCUGCCUUGCCUAACUGUGGGCUGCUGGUUUUAUGCAAAAGGUAACUACGCAAAGAAGAUGGUAAAAAGGCUUAUUUUAUAAAAGAAGGAGGCUGGGACAGCUGAGUGGAUAACGAUGCUUUUGGGGGACCAGCUGGGUAAAGAUGGAGGAGGGGCCCAGGUGGUGUCUCUGGCCUUCCAGAAAAGCUGCAGAAGGAAAGGUGAAGUCCAGAGUCCCCACAGAUGUCUUUGAAUUGAGGAGAGGAGAAAGAAGAGGAAUGAUUUUUUAAAAACCGUAAAACGGAGGUUAUCCAGUGCCUUCAAGACUGAACUUUAUUAUAGUUUCCACGACAAGUAGCUGGAGAAAGUGCAGCCAAGACUGCAAAGUGGACGGCCGUGCAGUGCCGAAGGUGCGGGAAGGCAGAGGGGUGGCCCCGUGGCCCCUCAGCCCAGGAGUCUCGAGCCAGUGGCUCCUGGGGCUGUGGGUUGAAAACAGGCCAGCGGCUUCUAGCACGUCCCUUGCGAUGUUCUUCACCUUCUCCCGAGGAUGCGUCCCUCGCGAUGCUCUCCCAUGUUCUCCUGAGGAUACGCAGCUUUCGGCCAUGGCAGCAGUCAGAGCUGUCAGCCCACACAAAAGAGGAGAGUCUGAGCCUUUAGUUUGAUGAACACAUUUAUGUGAUGGGAUGAACAUCAGAGCCCGCAGCUCUCGGCCCUGCUGGUGGCAGAGGCUUUGUACCGUGUGACAAUGACCUGGAUAUGGAAGCAGAAGGGAGCUUCCAAGGACUGGAAGCUGAGAGUCUCUCUCCUGUCCUGGCGCAGACACUGGGGUUCAGGAUCCAGUUCCUGUUGCCCUGCAGCUAAUCAGCUUCACCAGACAUGGACCUCCAAGCUUAGGGAUGCACGAAUCUGAAAUCCAAGUCAUGGUUGUAAUAGUGAUAAUA